rnacentral:rRNA from 1 species
AUCAACUUUCGAUGGUAGGAUAGAGGCCUACCAUGGUGGUAACGGGUAACGGGGUGUUAGGGCACGACACCGGAGAGGGAGCCUGAGAAACGGCUACCACAUCCAAGGAUGGCAGCAGGCGCGCAAAUUACCCAAUCCCGACACGGGGAGGUAGUGACAAUAAAUAACAAUACGGGGUUCUUUAGGAUCUCGUAAUUGGAAUGAGUACAAUUUAAAUCUCUUAACGAGGAACAAUUGGAGGGCAAGUCUGGUGCCAGCAGCCGCGGUAAUUCCAGCUCCAAUAGCGUAUAUUAAAGUUGUUGCAGUUAAAAAGCUCGUAGUUGAAUUUCGGGGUUAGUAGGUUGGUCAUGCCUCUGGUAUGUACUGGUCUCACUGAUUCCUCCUUCCUGAUGAACCGUAAUGCCAUUAAUUUGGUGUUGCGGGGAAUUUGGACUGUUACUUUGAAAAAAUUAGAGUGUUUAAAGCAAGCUAACGCUUGAAUACAUUAGCAUGGAAUAAUGAAAUAGGACGUUCGAUCCUAUUUUGUUGGUUUCUAGGAUUGACGUAAUGAUUAAUAGGGUUAGUUGGGGGCAUUAGUAUUCAAUUGUCAGAGGUGAAAUUCUUGGAUUUAUUGAAGACUAACUACUGCGAAAGCAUUUGCCAAGGAUGUUUUCAUUAAUCAAGAACGAAAGUUAGGGGAUCGAAGACGAUCAGAUACCGUCGUAGUCUUAACCAUAAACUAUGCCGACUAGGGAUCGGAUGAUGUUAAUUUUUUAAUGACUCAUUCGGCGCCUUACGGGAAACCAAAGUGUUUGGGUUC